GACGAACGCUGGCGGCGUGCUUAACACAUGCAAGUCGAACGGAAAGGCCCUGCUUUUGUGGGGUGCUCGAGUGGCGAACGGGUGAGUAACACGUGAGUAACCUGCCCUUGACUUUGGGAUAACUUCAGGAAACUGGGGCUAAUACCGGAUAGGAGCUCCUGCUGCAUGGUGGUGGUUGGAAAGUUUCGGCGGUUGGGGAUGGACUCGCGGCUUAUCAGCUUGUUGGGGGGGUAGUGGCUUACCAAGGCUUUGACGGGUAGGCGGCCUGGGAGGGUGACCGGCCACAUUGGGACUGAGAUACGGACCAGAAUCCUACGGGAGGCAGCAGUGGGGAAUAUUGCACAAUGGGCGGAAGCCUGAGGCAGCAACGCCGCGUGCGGGAUGACGGCCUUCGGGUUGUAAACCGCUUUCGCCUGUGACGAAGCGUGAGUGACGGUAAUGGGUAAAGAAGCACCGGCUAACUACGUG
rnacentral:rRNA from 1 species